CGAGCCCCGGCCCGGCCGCCAUCAGCGGAGAGAAGCCGCCCGGCCCCCGCCUCGGCCGCGACAUGGAGGCCGUGAAGGCCUUUAACAGCGAGUUGUACUCGCUGAAUGAUUAUAAGCCACCCAUUUCUAAAGCUAAAAUGACACAGAUCACCAAGGCAGCAAUCAAGGCUAUAAAGUUCUACAAGCAUGUUGUGCAGAGUGUUGAGAAAUUCAUUCAAAAGUGCAAACCAGAAUACAAGGUGCCUGGUCUGUACGUCAUUGAUUCGAUUGUGAGGCAGUCCCGGCAUCAGUUUGGGCAAGAGAAGGAUGUAUUUGCUCCAAGAUUCAGCAAUAACAUCAUCAGCACUUUUCAGAACUUGUAUCGUUGUCCUGGGGAUGACAAGAGUAAAAUUGUCAGAGUGCUAAACUUAUGGCAGAAAAAUAACGUGUUCAAGAGUGAAAUUAUUCAGCCUCUUUUGGAUAUGGCAGCAGGAAUUCCUCCACCAGUUGUGACCCCCGUCUUGCCCAGUACUACUGCUGCUAUGAGCAACAAUACACCAGGAACACCUGUGACUCCAGUUACUCCAGCCAAUGUGGUGCAAAGUUUACCUGAUCCUUGGGUAUCUCAGAUUGCUAAUACAGAUACGCUUGCUGCUGUUGCCCAGAUUUUACAGAGUCCCCAAGGCCAACAGCUUCAGCAGUUGAUACAGACGCUGCAGAUACAGCAGCAGAAACCUCAGCCUUCACUACUUCAAGCCCUGGAUGCUGGUCUUGUCGUUCAGUUACAGGCCCUAACUGCACAGCUUACAGCUGCAGCUGCUGCUGCCAAUACACUUAAUCCAUUGGAACAGAGUGUCUCUUUUAAUAAGAAGCUGAUGGACAGGUUUGACUUUGGGGAAGAAUCUGAACAAAAUGAAGAGUCUAAGAAGGAAACUCCCACUUCCCAACUGCCAUUAGUACCAGAAUCUGUGAACAACUCACUUUUUCACCAACUAGCUGAACAAUUGCAGCAACAAAAUUUAGAACAUCUCAGACAACAACUUCUGGAGCAACAGCAGCCUCAAAAGGCAAGCCCUGAGGAAAAUCAGGAAGGGAAUUUUGGUUCAGAACACUCUGCAUCACCUUCACAAGGGAGCAGUCAACAGCAGUUUUUAGAAGCAGAAACAAAUGUAGAUGAUUCAAUGGAUAUUCAACAACAGGACAUGGACAUAGAUGAAGGACAGGAUGUUGCUGAAGAAGAGAUUUUUGAACAAGAAGAAAAAAAAUCUGCUGUUCGUUCAAGAUCAAGAACUCGUUCAAGAUCUCGUUCAAGGUCACCAAGGAAAAGAAGGUCUAGAUCACGAUCUGGUUCUCGUAAACGCAAACACAGAAAGCGUUCACGCUCAAGAUCAAGAGAAAGGAAGAGAAAGUCAUCUCGGUCCUACUCCAGUGAAAGAAGGGCUAGGGAAAGGGAAAAAGAACGUCAGAAAAAGGGAUUGCCUCCAAUACGGUCAAAAACACUAAGUGUUUGCAGCACUACUCUUUGGGUAGGUCAAGUAGACAAGAAGGCAACACAGCAAGAUUUGACCAACUUGUUUGAAGAAUUUGGACAAAUAGAAUCUAUUAAUAUGAUUCCCCCAAGAGGUUGUGCAUAUGUCUGCAUGGUUCAUAGACAAGAUGCAUAUCGUGCUCUUCAGAAGCUUAGUUCUGGGUCCUACAAAAUUGGAUCUAAAAUUAUUAAGAUUGCCUGGGCUUUAAAUAAAGGUGUGAAAACAGAGUAUAAGCAAUUCUGGGAUGUGGAUCUGGGAGUUUCAUAUAUUCCUUGGGAGAAGGUAAAACUGGAUGAUUUGGAGGGCUUUGCUGAAGGUGGCAUGAUUGAUCAGGAGACAGUAAAUACAGAAUGGGAAACAGCAAGGAGCUCAGAGCCUCCUAAAGAAAAUAUUCAAACUACGCAGAGUACUGCAGUUGAUAAAAGCACAGUGAUUACAACACAGACAGAAGCUUACACACAGCCAGUCACUAUGCUGCAGAUUCCAGUAGCUCCAGCUGUGCCUGCUGUUAGCUUAGUUCCACCUGCGUUUCCUGUCACAAUGUCUGUCCCUCCUCCUGGUUAUAGUGCCAUUCCUCCUCCACCCUUCUUGCGAGCAAGUUUCAAUCCUUCACAGCCACCUCCAGGUUUUAUGCCUCCCCCAGUUCCUCCUGUUGUUCCUCCUCCUGUUGUCCCACCACCUGUUGUCCCACCAGUUGUUCCAACAUCUUUAGUACAGCCUCCAUUACCAAUUGCUCAAGAGACGAUGAAGGAUGUACCUUUUACCGGCCUGGUUCUACCAGUUGUUGGCACAGUUAGUAGCAAUCUAGCUACUCCAACAUUAUCUUCUGGAAGCAUCUUUAAUCCUCUGCCAAUCAACAAACAAGAAUCUGAUGAAAAGGGAUCUCAUCUUGCAGACCUUCAGAUUUCUUCCAGUGAAAAUGGUAGAGCUGUGCAAAGUGAUGUCUCAAGUAGCUCUGGACUUGUUGGAGGAAUGCAGCCACCCAGUGUCUCAAGCAGUUCUGGGUUAACUGGAGAAGGCCAGCCACCCAGUGUCUCAAGCAGCUCUGGACUUGCAGGUGGAGUACAGCCACCCAGUGUCUCAAGCAGCUCUGGACUUGGAGGAGGAGUGCAACCACCAACUGUUUCAAGCAGUUCUGGUCUUGCAGGAGGAGUGCAACUACCCAGUGUCUCCAGUAGCUCUUCUCUUGCAGGAGGAGUUCAGCCAACCAUCGUCUCGAGCAGCUCUGGACUUAUGGCUGGAGUGCAACCACCAAAUGUCUCAAGUAGCUCAGGGCUUCUAGCUGGAGUGCAUCCACCCAAUAUCUCAAGCAGCCCUGGCCUUCUACCAGGAAUGCAGCCUCCCAGUGUUUCAAGUAGCUCAGGAGUUCUGGCAGGAGUACAGCCACCAAGUGUCUCAAACAACUCUGGUCUUCUCCUAAUGCCACCACCAAACGUUUCAAGUAGUUCUGGACUUAUGGGAGUGCCACCACCAAAUAUUUCAAGUAACUCUGGACUUCUGGCAAUACAGCACCCAGCUGGUGUUCAAAAUAUGCCUCAUUUAAAUAUUAGUAGUCAAAGGAUGCCAGGAAUGCCUCUCAUAGAUAUCCGUCCAGGCCUAAUGCCCCAUUCACCUGGACCAAGGUUUCCAUUAAUGCAGCCAGGAAUACCACCACAGCGUAGUAUUCCUCCUCCAGCAAUCCUUGAUCCAUCUCUUCACCCUCCACCUCGAGGUCCUUUUCCUCCAGGAGAUAUUUUUAAUCAAACAGAAAGACCUUUUGCAACACCAGGAAGACAAAAUAUUGAUAGCAUUUCUAAUCCAGAGAAAAGGUUACCACUUGGAGGCGAUAAUAUUCAGCAGGAGGGAGACAGAGAUUAUCGCUUUCCUCCAGUGGAAAACCGAGAUAAUCUCAACAGACCAUCCCAAGUGGAUGUCAGAGAUUCUGUUGGACGACCACCAGUUGAUCCAAGAGAGGGCAUAGGAAGACCUCCAGUAGAUGGAAGAGAACAUUUUGCAAGACCUCAUGUUGACAUGAGAGAAAAUUUUGGAAGACCAGGUAUAGAUAAUCUUGGUCGAAGAGAGCAUUUUGCUUUCAAUUCAGAUAAGCACUGGGGACAAAGAGGAGAUUAUGAUGAAAGAGAGCACCAUGCCUUUCCUAUUUAUGGUGGCCCUAAAGGCUUCCAUGAGGACAGAGAGAGAUUUCGGCAUGUAAACUAUAGGUUUGAUAGUAGAAGUGGUCCCAGCUGGAAUAGAGGAUUUGAACAAGAUGCUCACAGAGAUUUUGAUGACCGCAGAAGACCCUGGGAAAGACAGAGGGACAGGGAUGACAGAGAUUUUAACUUCUGCAGAGAAAUCAAUGGAAACAGGUUUGGAAGAGACAGAAUGUCAAACAACUGGAUCCCCCCUCCACACCCACGGGUUUUUGAAUACUUUGAUGGGGCCACUUCCCAACGCAAAGCGGAUAAUUUGCCCCAGGUAAACGGUGAAAAUACAGAGACAGAAAGUCAACCACCAACUGCACAGGUGCAGGACGAUCCAGAACUUUAUGAAAAACUGACAUCUUCCGUCGAGAUAAACAAAGAGAAGAGUGACACAGAAGCUGAUAUAGAAAGUGAACCAGUGGUAGAAAGCACAGAAACUGAGGGGACAUAAUCAUCACUCAGUAGGUAAAAGAUACCUUUUGUAAAGUUGUCAUCUCUCUGUAAUAGAUAAAUGGCUGACUGGACCUUAGUAGUUCACUUUUGUCUGCCAGAAUUAAGUUAAUCUGAUGUUCAUGUUCAUCUUUCACUUAAAUAACUGUACAACUGACUUGUAUAGAACACUGUUCUUAAUUUGAACAUGGUAGGUAAACUUUUUUUUUUUUAAUUUCUCUGGUAAAACAUAAACUUGCCCCCACUUGCUUUUAAUUUCAUAAAGGUAAAAUAACAGCUUGUCAAACAAAGACUUCCUAUGGAAGACAGUGGAAUUUUUUAGAUACUACCCCUAGGUUGGCUAUUGAAAUUGUUAUACUUGAAAACAGGUGCUGGUGUAUCUUGUCCGUGUUUUUAGGCUGCUGCAGAAUUUUAAAGUAUAGACAAAGCUGUGAUAUUUUAUGUUCCUACAAUUUGGCAGAAAAUGAAAUGGCCCAUGUUACUUAAGGAGCAUAACACAGAGAUUAAAAGUGAUUUUGUAAAAUCUACACUAUAGUCUCUGUUUUCUCUAAAGUAAGUGUUUUGUGGUUUGUUCCUCAUACUGCAGUGGGUUUAAAAAACAAUGCAAAAGUACAUUUUAAUGUUGGGUGCAUUUUGUUUUUAGAUGCCAAUAAAGCAUAUUUGUUUGAUAACAGUGUUCUAGGUAUUGUAUUUUUUUUUUUAAAGAAACCUGCAAGCUAUAAAAACUUGGAACCAGCUAUGAUAUGUGCUUAGCUAGUUGUUGCAAAAGGUUUAUACUACUUUUGUAAGACCAAUGCAACAGCUAUCAUGUGCAAGAAAGAUAUGUAUGGUUUUUACAUGGAAAAUCAUGCAGUCAUGCUAGUUUAUGUGUAUAACAUAUGUAUGUAAAUAUUUGUGUAAACUCUUUGUAGAUACUACUUUCUCUGUGCGUGCGUGUAUGUACACACACUCACAGAAUAUUGCAGACAAUUCAAUAAAAUUGAAAAAAAUAGGUUAGAAAAAUGUUCACCUUCUUUAGAUAGUAAGAUUACAAAGUGUGUAUCACUGUGGUACUGUCAAGCUUACAUUUACCUUCUUAUGCUAGUAGAUGUAUGAAGUUCUUACUACUUACAGAAGGUGAAAUAUGAGACACUGUAAGAAUAUACAGUAAUAUUUUAGCUUUUCUUUUUUAAAAUGAGGAUACAUGUGAAGCCAAAAUUAAGUAUUUGCAUUGUCUUGUUUUGUAACAUAUUGGGUAUUCUGGAUAGACAGUGGUAGUGUUUAAGUACUUUGUGGUUGUUUUUAUUGACUCAAAGUCCCAAAGUGUUGCAUGAAGAGUGAAAAGCUGUUGUUGGUCUGAAAAAUCCUCUUUUUUUUUUUUUUGUUUGUUUGUUUUAACAGAAAUCAGGGGGCUUUGUGUUUUGGUGGCUUAAUACUGAAGGAGAAAAUCUUGUUAAAUUGCUGAGAGGAAUUGGCUGCUUAGCUUUAUUAAAUUGGUGUCCUGACAUUUGGCUGCUUGCUGCUCUGAAACCAGCAGAGGGUGCACAGAAUGUAUUCAGCUGUAGCUGUUUCUUCACGAUCCCUUGUGUUACUGCUACAUAGGAACCAGACAACUGCCCUCCUAGGCCCUAUUCAGGCAAGAUGAAGGAAGUUCUGGCAGCUUACCAUGCCCCUGGCUCUGCAGAGUUAAGCGAGACGUGCGCCCAUGUUCUAGCAUGCAUCACAUCACCUCUCGGGUCUGAAGUGCCAGCAGGAUCCCAGCGCUGCAGACUGAGACGGCUCUGAGCACCUCAGUACCCCGUUUCUGACAGAACCCAGGGAUGGCAGACUUACAUACCAGUAUUACCUGUCUGACGCAGGUUUAAUUUUAUAAAUUAAAACCAUAAACUCUAUGAGUUUCUAGACCAUAUUUGUGCUGUUGAGGAUGAUCUACUCAGAUGAACAGUUUUGCAUCCAUCGGAGAGAGAGGUUCUUCUGCUGGACCAGAAGACAACAUUAUUGUAACUAAUACCAUUUGUAGCAUCUCCUAGUGCAAAUAACUGAAGAUCAGGUAGCAAGAAAAUCCUCUAGGGAAUAAGACAUGCUUGGUUUUGGUCUACAGAUUUUAAGAAAUGUUGUUUUUGUUUUUGUUUUUUUUUAAAGGUAACCACUUUUACAUGACACUACGUGUGCAGUCUAUGUGCAGCUCUUCACUGUGGCUAUCUAUAUUCCAGAGAUUUUUAAUUGCUUGUCAGACACUUGAACCUUUUUUAGAUUUGUGAUGAAUCCUUAAAUUAUGAAAGCAUCAUGGAAAAUUAGAAAGGAAAAGUUUCAAGGCUUUUGUUUGACUAAAUAUUUCCACUUAUUCCCUGUUAGUGUCUUCGAUGGUGGAAGAAAGGGUGGGAAGUAGGAAAAAAUACAAAAGAACAACACAUUGUGGGCUUGGUGUUUUGGCAUAUCAGAAUGUUUGAUCAAAUUACUAAGGAGAAACAGCUAACUUACCUGAGGCCUCACAUGAAAGGUUAGUAUUUUGGGGCAGUAUUUGCUGAUUUUUUUUCUCCAAAAUAGCUAUAGAAAAGAAGGAUUAUAUAUAUGCCCCAACAUAUGGUGAAAAGGACAUACUUGCCAUUCCUCUAUUUAUUUUUGCUCUUUCAUAAAUCAAAGUGCCAGUUAUUUGGAAUGCUGUAGUCUGUGGUCUCUUUAAAUUUCUUUAGUGAGAUCCUUUCAGCAAGAUCAUUCCCAUUAUGGUGUAACUGCAUGGUGACCACAGCUUUGGGCCUGUAUAAUAAAGAUCUGAAUUCAAAUUUUU